UAUACAUACUAUUUUUUUUCUUUUAUAAAACUAAAUUUUAUAUUUAAACAAAAUUACCAAUCCAACUUUCUCCAUCGCAUCGAAGAAAGAAUGUCAAGAAGUCGAUUGUUAUGGUUCUCCUUCGGAUUCACAUCGGCAUACGCCUUAUUUUCCCUAUCCCUUUCCAAGGACUUAAAGGUUCAGCGUUUUGUGCUUUCCUCGUGCUUGGAACACGUUGGCGCUCUCGAAAAUAGAAUCUCCCAAAUCGAAUCCUCUUCUUCAAAACCUUCUUCUACUCCCUCCUCUCCUUCGGCUUCUGAUGAGGUUGAAGGUUAGAUAAUUUUCCGGUGAAAUGAGUUCUUCUUCUUGGUUCUAUGGGAUCUAUACUUUAAUAUUGGUAGAAGAAAUUGACAUAAUAAAACAGACGCCGAGGCAACUUGAUUUUUUUGUUCACGCUUUUUAUUUUUUCUGGGAAAUUAACCAAUAGUGUUGAAAAAAUGUGAAGACUUUUGAAUUUUUAACUGUCUUGUUAUUCUUGGUAAAUUUUGAUGAAAUUUGAUACGUUCAAGAAAAUUAUGUAAACCAAUAUCCUCUAGUCGGUUCUGGAAAUAGCAUGUGGUGAACUUGUGA